GUAGAUGCAGAUUUAGAUCCUAGCACACAUCAGCACUCAAGUGUGUGGCGUAGUGGUCACUGAGGUGGUAUGAGAACCAUGGAAGACUAGGGAAAACCCCCGAGAUGCUUUCAUCUGCCUACUCUCGAUGGAAGAAAGUGGGAGGUAGCAAGUACUUGGUGGAACAGUCAAGGUGUGUUACCAUGACCAGGUGCUUACUUUGCAAAUAUAAUAGGCUGGAUCUAACCACUCCAUUGUUACCAUGAUGCACAGAUUGAGUAAUUUUAUUUUCAAUAUGCUUGAAGCCAUCUCUGUGAUGCCUGAAUCGGCUAACCAACUGCUGUCAUGGAAGAAAGUGGGAGGUAGCAAGUACUUGGUGGAAUAGUCAAAGUGUGUUACCAUGAGCAGGUGCUUCCAUUGCAAAUAUAAUAGGCUGGAUGCUAACCACAUAGGGCUUCAUUGUUGCCAUGAUGCACAGAUUGAGUAAUUU
rnacentral:lncRNA from 1 species